AAUCUUUUAUUUAGCUUUUAAAGAAACACGCCGACUUAUUGAGAUUUUAGCUCAUUUACUGCAUCCCCCAGA